rnacentral:rRNA from 1 species
GACGAACGCUGGCGGCGUGCCUAAUACAUGCAAGUCGAGCGAACAUAUUCUGGUCCUUCCACUCUAACAACUUCGCCGCGCACGUGUGUGUCACACGUAAAACACCUCCCUCAUACACUGAUACAACUAUUAGAAACGAUAGCUAAUACCAGAUAACAUUAUUUCUCACAUUAGAGAUAUUUAAAACUUUUUUAUUCUAACACUAUGAUAUGUCUUUGCGGUGCAUUAGCUAGUUGGUGGGGUAAAGGCCCACCAAGGCGACGAUGCAUAGCCGACCUGAGAGGGUGAUCGGCCACACUGGGACUGAGACACGGUCCAGACUCCUACGGGAGGCAGCAGUAGGGAAUCUUCCGCAAUGGGCGAAAGCCUGACGGAGCAACGCCGCGUGAGUGAUGAAGGACUUCGGUUCGUAAAGCUCUGUUGUUAGGGAAGAAUGAAUAUGUAGUAAAUAUAGAUGUAAGAGACGGUACCUAACCAGAAAGCCACGGCUAACUACGUG